rnacentral:rRNA from 1 species
AUUGAACGCUGGCGGCAGGCCUAACACAUGCAAGUCGAACGGUAACAGGGAUCAGCUUGCUGAUUCGCUGACGAGUGGCGGACGGGUGAGUAAUGUCUGGGAAACUGCCUGAUGGAGGGGGAUAACUACUGGAAACGGUAGCUAAUACCGCAUAACGUCGCAAGACCAAAGAGGGGGACCUUCGGGCCGCUUGCCAUCGGAUGUGCCCAGAUGGGAUUAGCUAGUAGGUGGGGUAACGGCUCACCUAGGCAACGAUCCCUAGCUGGUCUGAGAGGAUGACCAGCCACACUGGAACUGAGACACGGUCCAGACUCCUACGGGAGGCAGCAGUGGGGAAUAUUGCGCAAUGGGCGCAAGCCUGAUGCAGCCAUGCCGCGUGUAUGAAGAAGGCCUUCGGGUUGUAAAGUACUUUCAGCGGGGAGGAAGGGAUUAAAAUUAAUACCUGUACUCAUUGACGUUACCCGCAGAAGAAGCACCGGCUAACUCCGUG